rnacentral:sRNA from 1 species
CCCAGAGGUAUUGAUAGGUGAACUCAACCUACAGGUUGAUCAUUUCAUUACACCAACCUGCGCAGAUGCGCAGGUUUUUUUU